CCUACGGGAGGGCAGCAGUGGGGAAUAUUGGACAAUGGGGGAAACCCUGAUCCAGCGACGCCGCGUGUGUGAAGAAGGCCUGCGGGUUGUAAAGCACUUUUAGUGGGGAAGAAAAUUUCAGGGCGAAUACCCUUGGAACUUGACCUAACCCAAAGAAAAAGCACCGGCUAACUCUGUGCCAGCAGCCGCGGUAAUACAGAGGGUGCAAGCGUUAAUCGGAAUUACUGGGCGUAAAGCGUGCGUAGGUGGUUAUCUAAGUCGGAUGUGAAAUCCCCGGGCUCAACCUGGGAAUUGCACUCGAUACUGGGUAGCUAGAGUUCGGCAGAGGGAAGUGGAAUUUCCGGUGUAGCGGUGAAAUGCGUAGAUAUCGGAAGGAACAUCAGUGGCGAAAGCGACUUCCUGGACCAGAACUGACGCUCAAGUACGAAAGCGUGGGGAGCAAACAGGAUUAGAUACCCUGGUAGUCCACGCCAUAAACGAUGACAACUAGACGUUGGAGGGUAAGCCUUUCAGUGUCGCAGCUAACGCGUUAAGUUGUCCGCCUGGGGAGUACGGCCGCAAGGUUGAAACUCAAAUGAAUUGACGGCUGAGACNGCGACGACGACGACGAGGAGAGG
rnacentral:rRNA from 1 species